UCCGCGUGGACAUAUUUGUCUUAUUUAAUUUACAACCGGAGCUUUGUCAAUUAAAUGUUGUAAUUGCGAGUAAGGGUUUGAUUACGGGAUGUUAGUUGUGACAUGUGUGUGGAUUUUUCUCCCACGAGAUCUGUGUGGAUAUCAGGUCGGACUGUGUACUUUCAAUCCGAAGUUUAAAAAAAUAACUCGGGCCCUACAACAGGAAUUAUCAACAGUUUUUGGAUGUUAGUCAAAAUGAGACAAAGGGAUCAUCUCCCAGGGUAUAGUAAUGUAAUAAUGGGUGAAAUUUUAAUUGGACAGCAUAUAAUAAAAGCAUUAUGAAAACCA
rnacentral:lncRNA from 1 species